GGGGAUACACUUAGAGUCCCCAGUAUACGAGUGUUAAUAGUGUUGCCCUUGGCCGAGCUGCACGGUUAGUGAAUC
ncrna:unclassified sequences L13-Bacteroidia ribosomal protein leader